rnacentral:tRNA from 1 species
CAAAGAAUAGUUUAAGUAAAAUAUUAGUUUUGGAGAUUAAUGAUAAGAGUUUCUUUUCUUUGA